rnacentral:lncRNA from 1 species
UAUCGCGUCGCGGCCUCCACACGAAAACGUGGCAGGCGUACGUGAAGAAGCUAACACCUGCCGCUACUCUUGCUGCCUCGAAACUCAUGAGUGAGUGCGCGAAACUUGAAACUUGCAGCAGAACUUGAAAAAAAGGCAUGCUCAUGCUAACAAUCAGUCUGAUUAUAUGCCUGGUGCAUAUUAAUCACUAAAAGUAUGUGUGCCUUUGAUAUUUUUCAUUCUGUAAUGCUAAAUAAAGUUUUAACCUUUUUUGCUCAUUUUCUUAAAA